rnacentral:rRNA from 1 species
UACGUAGGGGGCAAGCGUUGUCCGGAAUCAUUGGGCGUAAAGAGCGCGUAGGCGGCCCGGUAAGUCCGCUCUGAAAGUCAGGGGCUCAACCCCUGAAUGCGGGUGGAUACUGCUGGGCUAGAGUCCGGAAGAGGCGAGUGGAAUUCCUGGUGUAGCGGUGAAAUGCGCAGAUAUCAGGAGGAACACCAAUGGCGAAGGCAGCUCGCUGGGACGUGACUGACGCUGAGACGCGAAAGCGUGGGGAGCAAACAGG